ACAGAGGUCUCGGGGUCGUGAGAAGACAGAGAUAACCCUAAUCUCCAAAUCCUUCGUGUCCGGCGACGCCACCAGAUUCCCACCAAAAUCGGAACCCCGUCGUGAUGGGCGACGCCGCCGACGCCCCCCGCCGGCAACGGCUGGCCUCAAUUCUCCUUGCCCGGAAACCGCGCCUCACCGACAGCAGGAACGAGACCACGGCCACAGCCGUAUCCAUGGAUGGCUUCACCAUGGCGGUCUCCUUCUGGAUGGCCGACCCGCCGCAGCUGUCCAUCUUCUCCAUCUACUGCUGCAGACCCCCUCAUCUGCAAGCCGGGCCGUACUGCAAUUUCAAAGAUUUGCCACGCGUGGUCGGCGUCGGCGCGGAGGGCCGUUUCGUCCUCUUCCGCGCCGUCUUCGACCGCCGCUACACAUCCGAAUAUUUCCUGUACAAGGCCGGCGAGUCGCCGUCGCUCGAGUGGAUUCCUUCUCCCUACGAGUACAAUGAUGGCGACCUCGAUGAUCUGCGCGGGGUCAGGGAGUUCGGCGUCCUGCAGCAGCUCGGCGGCCACUAUCUCGUGGCCGCUCUCUGCCUCGCCCCGUUGUCGGAUGACUAUCACCUUCGGAUCUACUCGUCCGAGAGAACGUCAUGGAGCACCAGGACCCCGCCCAAUCCAUGUCCUGGGGUCGACAGGAUUAUACCCAACAAGGUGAUCACUCUUGGAGAAGAAGGCCUACUAGGGUGGGUUGAUUUGUCACAGGGCCUGCUGAUGUGCGACCUGCGUCAAGAUCAUGUGCGUUUCACUUUCAUCCCGUUGCCGGAGCCGUUGCCUGGGAACAGAUACAAACUAAAAGGUCAAAUUCCCCCUCCCACCGCAAAGAGAAGCAAAAAACUAGAGGGCGAAUCUCACCCAAAUCUCUGCUGGUUUCGGGAUCUCGCAUGGGUUGAUGGCGUGCUCAAGUUUAUUGAGAUGGAGAAUCUUGCUCCUGAAAGCCGGAGCGACAAGGGUGAUGUUAUCUACGAUUCAGACUUGAUCAUGUCGCUCGAGCGCAAAGCCGUGGAUUGGCAUUGCAAGCAGCUGUCCAUUGGGGGUGCCUGGAGGGCUGUCACAUGGACUCGGACAGUUUCGUCCAAUGUUGGCGCCAGACAUGCGCUGCCAAUGUCGCUGACAUCUUGGUUGUCGACGGAUCAGCGCAUUCAUCUUUGUUGCCCGGGCUAAAGGGAGAAAAGUUGACAUUCAGGGACCUCUACUCAGCUUUCCCCAUCCCGAGCCCGGAUGGUGACGAUAUUCUUUAUCUCAAAUCUAUGGUGGAACCCAGUAAUAAGGAUGGAUGUGUGGCCGCUGUUGACUUGGGAAACAAGGCUGUGAAAGCAGUUGGCAAGUAUUAUCUUCCGGAUGAUUUUUAUUACCACUUUCGCCAUGACCCUGAACAUCCUUUCCGUGUCUGUACAUUGUCCCGCCAUCUGGAUAUGACUCCAGGCAUUGAAGUCUCAGCGUGUCGCAAGAUCAUAGGGGAUGCUAGCAGCUCUUCAAAUUAUCCAAGCAACACCUCAUUCCAUGCGGGUGAGCUCAAUUCCUGCGAACCAAGGAGCAAAAUCCAAAGGCAAGUUUCUUAUUCUCUAACCUUUCUUCUGCUAAUGCCUGGGCACCUAUGAUCCAAUUUAGAUCAAUUCGUUCUAUAAUUUGAUAUCUAUUCACCUAUUAGUUUUACCUGAUAUUACCAUAUUGGGGUAUUUUUUCUAGUUGACUUUCUGUUCCUCAGGUCAUUGGAAUGGGCUCAGAAAAACAAGCGUGCACGAAAUGCUGCUGGGACUAUUAUGCAGAAUGAUCAUAUUUCCCAGGUCCAUCCUAUUGAAAACAAUCUGUGGAGGUUUCCAUGAGGGCAGUCCAAUUUACGUUCUGUUUAUUAUCGGUGGCUCAUCUAAUCUCUCUCUCUCUCUUCGUCCGUGAUGCGAGCAGCAGCUUGACGAUAAGGUGCUGGAGCUAGAGCGGGGGUGGAAACAGAAGAGAGAGCAGAAGCCACAACAGCAGUGCUUCAACAAGUGGGAUGCGCCGUGCUACCCCCCUGGACAUUCAGUGUGGCCCCAUCAAAACAAUCUGUCACCGAGGAAAUACUUCAACAAGCCAGACGGACCAUGUGUCCUUGGGUAUGCAUGUUUGCCCCCUGUACAGCUGGGUCGUCACAACUACCAACCUCUGUGGCGCAGCCACCACCAUCAAAACAGCAGUUGACUUCUAGCAGUGAGUUUGGACCUCAUGAGGUAAAGACAUUGGUGAAGCUUAUGAUAUUCUGCUAUCUCCUCUAUUGACAUGUAGCUCUGGAACGGACCAUCUUCACUUGUUAAAAAUUACUCGCAAGAUACACAUUCUAAGUAGUACUCCCUCUGGUCUUUUUUACUCCACGUAUUAGAUUUGUAAUAUCAAGUCAAACUUUGCAAAGUUUGACAAAAUUUAUAUUAAAAAAUAUCAACAUAUACAAUACCAAAUAUAUUAUUAUAUGAAACUACAUUCCAUAAUGAAUCUAAUGAUAUUGAUUUCGUUCUAUGAAUGUUGAUACUUUUUUCUAUAAGUUUGGUCAAAUUAGAGAUAGUUUGACUUUCAGCUGAACUUAUAUGCAGACUAGAAAUGACCGGAGGGAGUAAUUCUCUCACAUGUGCUGUCAUGCCGAUGGACCCAACUUGACAUGUUCUGUGCAUUUUUUUAAUUAUUUGUUUUGAAAGUAAAAGAGGGAAACAAACUAUGGGCACCAAGUUUAAAAAUAUGUAAUCAGUAAGUCUAAAAGCAACUGCAUUAUUAUAGUAAAUUCAUUAUUUGAGUUCAUUGGAAUAUAAUAAGCAACAAAGAUGAAAUUAUCUAUUUCUGCUGUGAUGUGCUACUUUUGACGUGUUGCCUAGGUGUCUGUUUUUUCAUCAUCUUACUACUAUAAGUUGUUAAGAUUUCAGGCACCCCAGCCAUGCUUCAACAAUUGCAGUGGAGCCAGCUACCAUGUGUAUUAACAACAAAUUUCUGCCCCUAACUCAUUUGCCUAUGGCGCACACACCUGCUAUGCCAGCUACCAACACCAGUGGCUUCAACUCUUACUUUGGAGCUGCCUAUUGUGAUAUUGCUGGCUAGAUUUGACUGGAUCGAUGGCUAUGCUCAGGUCAGGGGCCCCUAUAGUGGUGGCGUCGUCCCGGACUCUGUGUCUGAUGCCGGGCUAGGAGUGAAAGGAGCUGCCUUUCUCUCCUACCGUGGUUGGUAAAUCAUGAUGUGAACGAUGGGUGAGAUGUUUCGGACAUGGAUGCCGGGGCGGCGGCUCCGGAUGGUGGUCCACAUGGUUGGCUUUCCGGCGGGCAUCAUGAUGGCGGCGGUGGCUUCCCUCUUUGCGCCGUUCUUCCUCUUGAGGGCAUUGUCGAGGAGCUUAGGUGUACUAGGGCGUAGUGCGUCGUUGUUCUCAUUCUUCUGUGUAGUAUCUACGUGAUACGGGUAUUCUAGAGUCUGCUUUGUAAGAGGGUUAUCUCACCAACACUCCCACACCACUAAUAGCUUCGUUCCACUAAUGGCUCACUAUUCCCUUCUCUUCUCCCUUCUUAUUUUCUUCUCCCCACCCCCCUGUUCUUCAAAGCUCCAACUUCCCCCAUGAUAAUUAAUUAGGGCAAUUCCACCACGGUUCAUCAAAUAGCCCGCAAAUGUCCUUACCACGUGAUACGUCUCUGUCGUAUCUACUUUUUUAAACACUUUUGCCCUUGUUUUGGACUCUAACUUGCAGAUUUGAAUGGAACUAACCCGGACUGACGCUGUUUUCAGCAGAAUUGCCAUGGUGUUAUUUAUGUGCAGAAACAAAAGUUCUAGGAAUAACCUGAAACUUCACGGAGAUUAUAUUUGGAAAUAAUUAAAAAUACUAGCGAAAGA